GAUGAACGCUGGCGGCGUGCUUAACACAUGCAAGUCGAACGGAAAGGCCCAAGCUUGCUUGGGUACUCGAGUGGCGAACGGGUGAGUAACACGUGGGUGAUCUGCCCUGCACUUCGGGAUAAGCCUGGGAAACUGGGUCUAAUACCGGAUAGGACCACAUUUUGGAUGGUGUGGUGGAAAGUUUUUCGGUGUGGGAUGAGCUCGCGGCCUAUCAGCUUGUUGGUGGGGUAAUGGCCUACCAAGGCGUCGACGGGUAGCCGGCCUGAGAGGGUGUACGGCCACAUUGGGACUGAGAUACGGCCCAGACUCCUACGGGAGGCAGCAGGGGGGAAUAUUGCACAAUGGGCGCAAGCCUGAUGCAGCGACGCCGCGGGGGGGAUGACGGCCUUAGGGUUGUAAACUCCUUUCGCUAGGGACGAAGCGUUAUGUGACGGUACCUGGAGAAGAAGCACCGGCUAACUACGUG
rnacentral:rRNA from 1 species